rnacentral:rRNA from 1 species
GUUGGUGAUUCUAGCGUAGAGGUCCACCUGUUCUCAUCCCGAACACAGAAGUUAAGCUCUACAGCGGUGAAAAUACUUGGCUGGUGACGGCCCGGGAAAAUAGCUCAUUGCCAACU